rnacentral:tRNA from 1 species
AAGAGUUUAGUUUAAACUUAAAACGUUAGAUUGUAAAUCUAAAGAUCUUUACUCUUG